GGGCGUAAAGCGUGCGCAGGCGGUGAUGUAAGACAGGUGUGAAAGCCCUGGGCUCAACCUGGGAAUGGCAUUGGAUACUGGCAGGCUAGAGUGCGGUAGAGGGUAGUGGAAUUCCCGGUGUAGCAGUGAAAUGCGUAGAGAUCGGGAGGAACAUCUGUGGCGAAGGCGACUACCUGGACCAGCACUGACACUGAGGCACGAAAGCGUGGGGAGCAAACAGG
rnacentral:rRNA from 1 species